UUCCAGACUCCUACGGGAGGCAGCAGUGGGGAAUAUUGCACAAUGGGGGAAACCCUGAUGCAGCGACGCCGCGUGAGUGAGGAAGUAUUUCGGUAUGUAAAGCUCUAUCAGCAGGGAAGAAAAUGACGGUACCUGACUAAGAAGCCCCGGCUAACUACGUGCCAGCAGCCGCGGUAAUACGUAGGGGGCAAGCGUUAUCCGGAUUUACUGGGUGUAAAGGGAGCGUAGACGGAAUUGCAAGUCUGAUGUGAAAAUCCGGGGCCCAACCCCGGAACUGCAUUGGAAACUGUGCAGCUAGAGUGCAGGAGAGGUAAGUGGAAUUCCUAGUGUAGCGGUGAAAUGCGUAGAUAUUAGGAGGAACACCAGUGGCGAAGGCGGCUUACUGGACUGUAACUGACGUUGAGGCUCGAAAGCGUGGGGAGCAAACAGGAUUAGAUACCCCGGUAUA
rnacentral:rRNA from 1 species